rnacentral:rRNA from 1 species
AUUGAACGCUGGCGGCAUGCCUUACACAUGCAAGUCGAACGGCAGCACGGGAGCAAUCCUGGCGGCGAGUGGCGAACGGGUGAGUAAAGUAUCGGAACGUGCCCAGUCGUGGGGGAUAACGUAGCGAAAGUUACGCUAAUACCGCAUACGAUCUAUGGAUGAAAGCGGGGGAUCGCAAGACCUCGCGCGAUUGGAGCGGCCGAUAUCAGAUUAGGUAGUUGGUGGGGUAAAGGCUCACCAAGCCGACGAUCUGUAGCUGGGCUGAGAGGACGACCAGCCACACUGGGACUGAGACACGGCCCAGACUCCUACGGGAGGCAGCAGUGGGGAAUUUUGGACAAUGGGCGAAAGCCUGAUUCAGCCAUGCCGCGUGCAGGAUGAAGGCCUUCGGGUUGUAAACUGCUUUUGUACGGAACAAAAAGGUUUGGGCUAAUAAGCUGAGCUCAUGACGGUACCGUAAGAAUAAGCACCGGCUAACUACGUGCCAGCCGCCGCCGUAAUAC